GCCAUUAUGACAACCAAAAUUCAGGUAUCUGAGGGCAUCCUGAAAACUUCCUGGUUACUAUUUUGAAGAACUAGAAGAUUCCUAAGGCAGUCAGUCCAAAGAGCAGAUGGUCUGAAAAGCUACAGAUUAAAGGAACCAUGCCAGUUGUUGUGACUCCAGACAGAGAACGAAGAAACUCUCUGCGAGACCUGUGGGUUUACAGAAGUCUAUCCAUCACUCUGUCAGUCUUCCGGAUCAUUAUUCAAGUUACUGUCCCCAAUUUUGCCGGAUAUAUCAGAUCUACUCCAGCUCCAUAGGUCAUUUUUCUCCCUAAUGGGUGUGUAAGGCAUUGGAUUUGGCAUGGAAACACAUACAAAGAAGACCCAGUUCCUGCCUUUAAGUAAAAGAACUCACAAAGAUGAACAGUGUGCUUUCUUCCUAUUUUUAAAGACAGCAAAGUGGAAAAUUGGUGAAUAUUAUAAGGACAUCCUGAAAAGUGCAUUGUUACUAUGGCAAUAAAAAGGAGAGAAAAUGCCCAAAAUCUUUUUGGUAAAAUUCCA